UGACUUACCUGGCAGGGGAGAUGCCAUGAUCAUGAAGGUGGUUUUCCCAGGGCGAGACUUCUCCAUUGUUCUCAGGAUGUGCCGACCCCAGAGAUUUCCCCAAAUGCGGGAAACUCGACUGCAUAAUUUGUGGUGGGGGACUGCAUUCACGCUCUCCUCUG
ensembl:snRNA U1 U1 spliceosomal RNA